UACGGAGGGAGCUAGCGUUGUUCGGAAUUACUGGGCGUAAAGCGCACGUAGGCGGCUCAGCAAGUCAGGGGUGAAAUCCCGGGGCUCAACCCCGGAACUGCCCUUGAAACUGCUAAGCUAGAAUCUUGGAGAGGCGAGUGGAAUUCCGAGUGUAGAGGUGAAAUUCGUAGAUAUUCGGAAGAACACCAGUGGCGAAGGCGACUCGCUGGACAAGUAUUGACGCUGAGGUGCGAAAGCGUGGGGGGCAAACAGG
rnacentral:rRNA from 1 species